GCCGCGGUAUUUUGACCGUGCAAAGGUAGCGUAAUCAUUUGUCUUUUAAAUGAAGACCUGUAUGAAUGGCUAGACGAGGGCUUAACUGUCUCCUUUUUCAAGUCAAUGAAAUUGAUCUCCCCGUGCAAAAGCGGGGAUAUGCCCAUAAGACGAGAAGACCCUAUGGAGCUUUAGAUGCCACAGCAAGCAUAGCUGCUACACCCAAAUAAAGGAUGUAUCCACUAGCUUCUGCCUCAACAUCUUCGGUUGGGGUGACCAUGGGGAACGAAAAACCCCCACGUCUCUGUACUGGAGUCUCUAUUAAACCUAACAAACUCUUUCAAACAAGAGCCGCCGCUCUACUUAACAGAAUUUCUGACCAUUGAUCCGGCAAUGCCGAUUAACGAACCCAGUUACCCUAGGGAUAACAGCGCAAUCCCCUUCUAGAGUCCAUAUCGAUAAGGGGGCUUACGACCUCGAUGUUGG
rnacentral:rRNA from 1 species